AACGCACAUUGCGCCUCCGGGUAUUCCUGGAGGCAUGCCUGUUCGAGCGUCGUUAAAGACCAUGAGGCUUUGCCUUGCGAUGAGCCUCCGAUUUAUUUUAUAGAUUGGUAGCUUCAAACUGAUUGGCAUCUGAAGUUUUAGCCCAAGCACAGCAAAAUGUGUCUUGUAAGCUGACUGCAAGAUUGCCUGUUCACCAUGUAUGCACAUACACAAAAGGUCGACCUCGGAUCAAGCAAGAUUACCCGCUGAACUUAA
rnacentral:misc_RNA from 1 species